AUAUUGUGAUGCGGACACGACCGUUGCAAGUCCUUGAAUCUUUCCCAGGCUUCUCGAAGUGAUUCACCAGGUUCUUGAGUAAAUGUAGUCAGCUUAUGCCUUACUUC
rfam:Spinacia oleracea cultivar SynViroflay scaffold51987.con0001.1, whole genome shotgun sequence.